rnacentral:rRNA from 1 species
GGGUUGUGAGGUUAAGCGACUAAGCGUACACGGUGGAUGCCCGCAGUCAGAGGCGAUGAAGGACGUGCUAAUCUGCGAAAAGCGUCGGUAAGGUGAUAUGAACCGUUACAGCCGGCGAUGUCCGAAUGGGGAAACCCAGUGCAAUUGUUGCACUAUCGUUAACUGAAUACAUAGGUUAACGAGGCGAACCGGGGAACUGAAACAUCUAAGUACCCCGAGGAAAAGAAAUCAACCGAGAUUCCCCAGUAGCGGCGAGCGAACGGGGAGCAGCCCAGAGUCUGAAUCAGCUUGUGUGUUAGUGGAACGGUCUGGAAAGUCCGACGGUACAGGGUGAUAGUCCCGUACACCAAAAUGCACAGGUUGUGAACUCGAAGAGUAGGGCGGGACACGUGGUAUCCUGUCUGAAUAUGGGGACCAUCCUCCAAGGCUAAAUACUCCUGACUGACCGAUAGUGAACCAGUACCGUGAGGGAAAGGCGAAAAGAACCCCGGCGAGGGGAGUGAAAAGAACCUGAAACCGUGUACGUACAAGCAGUGGGAGCACCUUCGGGUGUGACUGCGUACCUUUGUAUAAUGGGUCAGCGACUUAUAUUCUGUAGCAAGGUUAACCGUAUAGGGAGCCGCAGGGAAACCGAGUCUUAACUGGGCGUUAAGUUGCAGGGUAUAGACCCGAAACCCGGUGAUCUAGCCAUGGGCAGGUUGAAGGUUGGGUAACACUAACUGGAGGACCGAACCGACUAAUGUUGAAAAAUUAGCGGAUGACUUGUGGCUGGGGUGAAAGGCCAAUCAAACCGGGAGAUAGCUGGUUCUCCCGAAAGCUAUUUAGGUAGCGCCUCGUGAACUCAUCUUCGGGGUAGAGCACUGUUUCGGCUAGGGGUCAUCCUGACUUACCAACCCGAUGCAAACUACGAAUACCGAAGAAUGUUAUCACGGGAGACACACGGCGGGUGCUAACGUCCGUCGUGAAGAGGGAAACAACCCAGACCGCCAGCUAAGGUCCCAAAGUCAUGGUUAAGGGAAACGAUGUGGGAAGGCACAGACAGCCGGAUGUUGGCUUAGAAGCAGCCAUCAUUUAAAGAAAGCGUAAUAGCUCACUGGUCGAGUCGGCCUGCGCGGAAGAUGUAACGGGGCUAAACCAUGCACCGAAGCUGCGGCAGCGACACUAUGUGUUGUUGGGUAGGGGAGCGUUCUGUAAGCCUGCGAAGGUGUGCUGUGAGGCAUGCUGGAGGUAUCAGAAGUGCGAAUGCUGACAUAAGUAACGAUAAAGCGGGUGAAAAGCCCGCUCGCCGGAAGACCAAGGGUUCCUGUCCAACGUUAAUCGGGGCAGGGUGAGUCGACCCCUAAGGCGAGGCCGAAAGGCGUAGUCGAUGGGAAACAGGUUAAUAUUCCUGUACUUGGUGUUACUGCGAAGGGGACGGAGAAGGCUAUGUUAGCCGGGCGACGGUUGUCCCGGUUUAAGCAUGUAGGCUGGUUAUCCAGGCAAAUCCGGAUAAUCAAGGCUGAGGUGUGAUGACGAGGCACUACGGUGCUGAAGUAACAAAUGCCCUGCUUCCGUGAAAAGCCUCUAAGCAUCAGGUAACAUCAAAUCGUACCCCAAACCGACACAGGUGGUCAGGUAGAGAAUACCAAGGCGCUUGAGAGAACUCGGGUGAAGGAACUAGGCAAAAUGGUGCCGUAACUUCGGGAGAAGGCACGCUGGUGUGUAGGUGAAGUCCCUGCGGAUGGAGCUGAGACCAGUCGAAGAUACCAGCUGGCUGCAACUGUUUAUUAAAAACACAGCACUGUGCAAACACGAAAGUGGACGUAUACGGUGUGACGCCUGCCCGGUGCCGGAAGGUUAAUUGAUGGGGUUAUCCGUAAGGAGAAGCUCUUGAUCGAAGCCCCGGUAAACGGCGGCCGUAACUAUAACGGUCCUAAGGUAGCGAAAUUCCUUGUCGGGUAAGUUCCGACCUGCACGAAUGGCGUAAUGAUGGCUGCUGUCUCCACCCGAGACUCAGUGAAAUUGAACUCGCUGUGAAGAUGCAGUGUACCCGCGGCAAGACGGAAAGACCCCGUGAACCUUUACUAUAGCUUGACACUGAACAUUGAGCCUUGAUGUGUAGGAUAGGUGGGAGGCUUUGAAGCGUGGACGCCAGUCUGCGUGGAGCCAACCUUGAAAUACCACCCUUUAAUGUUUGAUGUUCUAACGUUGGCCCCUGACCGGGGUUGCGGACAGUGUCUGGUGGGUAGUUUGACUGGGGCGGUCUCCUCCCAAAGCGUAACGGAGGAGCACGAAGGUUAGCUAAUCCUGGUCGGACAUCAGGAGGUUAGUGCAAUGGCAUAAGCUAGCUUGACUGCGAGCGUGACGGCGCGAGCAGGUGCGAAAGCAGGUCAUAGUGAUCCGGUGGUUCUGAAUGGAAGGGCCAUCGCUCAACGGAUAAAAGGUACCGGGAUAACAGGCUGAUACCGCCCAAGAGUUCAUAUCGACGGCGGUGUUUGGCACCUCGAUGUCGGCUCAUCACAUCCCGGGCUGAAGUAGGUCCCAAGGGUAUGGCUGUUCGCCAUUUAAAGUGGUACGCGAGCUGGGUUUAGAACGUCGUGAGACAGUUCGGUCCCUAUCUGCCGUGGGCGCUGGAGAAUUGAGGGGGGCUGCUCCUAGUACGAGAGGACCGGAGUGGACGCAUCACUGGUGUUCGGGUUGUCAUGCCAAUGGCACUGCCCGGUAGCUAAAUGCGGAAGAGAUAAGUGCUGAAAGCAUCUAAGCACGAAACUUGCCCCGAGAUGAGUUCUCCCUGAGACUAUAAGUCUCCUGAAGGAACGUUAAAGACGAUGACGUUGAUAGGCCGGGUGUGUAAGCGCAGCGAUGCGUUGAGCUAACCGGUACUAAUGAACCGUGAGGCUUAACCUUACAACGCCGAAG